GAUGAACGCUGGCGGUAUGCUUAACACAUGCAAGUCGUACGAAGAUAAAAUUGUGCUUGCACGAUUUUAUACUUAGUGGCGGACGGGUGAGUAACACGUAAGAAUCUACCUUUUGGCGAGGGACAACCACUGGAAACGGUGGCUAAUACCUCAUAUAACUGAGAAGUGAAAGAUGAAAAUCACCAAGAGAUGAGCUUGCGUCUGAUUAGCUAGUUGGUAAGGUAAAGGCUUACCAAGGCGACGAUCAGUAGCUGGUCUGAGAGGAUGAUCAGCCACACUGGGACUGAGACACGGUCCAGACUCCUACGGGAGGCAGCAGUGAGGAAUUUUCCGCAAUGGGCGAAAGCCUGACGGAGCAAUACCGCGUGAAGGAUUAAGGCCUAUGGGUUGUAAACUUCUUUUCUCAGAGAAGAAUUUUGACGGUAUCUGAGGAAUAAGCAUCGGCUAACUCUGUG
rnacentral:rRNA from 1 species